ACAGCAGUCGCCACGGUAAUACGGAGGGGGCUAGCGUUGUUCGGAAUUACUGGGCGUAAAGCGCACGUAGGCGGCUCGGUAAGUUAGAGGUGAAAGCCUGGAGCUCAACUCCAGAAUUGCCUUUAAGACUGCCGAGCUAGCAGGUGAGAGAGGUAAGUGGAAUUCCGAGUGUAGAGGUGAAAUUCGUAGAUAUUCGGAAGAACACCAGUGGCGAAGGCGGCUUACUGGCUCAUACUGGACGCUGAGGUGCGAAAGCGUGGGGAGCAAACAGGAUUAGAUACCCGCGUAGUCCCUGUCUCUUAUAC
rnacentral:rRNA from 1 species